UGCGUAGGCGGUCCGGCAAGUUGGGCGUGAAAGCCCUCGGCUCAACCGAGGAACUGCGCUCAAAACUGCCGGGCUGGAGGGAGACAUAGGUGAGCGGAACUUAGGGUGGAGCGGUGAAAUGCGUUGAGAUCCUAAGGAACACCAGUAGCGAAAGCGGCUCACUGGGUCUCUUCUGACGCUGAGUGCACGAAAGCUAGGGGAGCGAAGAG
rnacentral:rRNA from 1 species